GCGAGCGGUCCACCCCUCAUGAUGUCACAAGAAGUCCACUGAACCUUAUCAUUUAGAGGAAGGAGAAGUCGUAACAAGGUUUCCGUAGGUGAACCUACAGAAGGAUCAUUA
rnacentral:rRNA from 1 species